rnacentral:rRNA from 1 species
GGCCGCAGUAUUUUGACUGUGCAAAGGUAGCAUAAUCAUUAGUUUUUUAAUUGAAAGCUGGAAUGAAAGGUUGGACGAAAUAUUAACUGUUUCAUUUAAAUUUUUAUUAAAAUUUUAUUUUUUAGUUAAAAAGCUAAAAUUUAUUUAAAAGACGAGAAGACCCUAUAAAUCUUUAUAUUUUAAUUAUUUUAUUUAAAUAGAUUAUUAAAAAUGAAAUAAUGAAUAGUAUUUUAUUGGGGUGAUAUUAAAAUUUAAAUAACUUUUAAUUUUUAAUUUACAUUUAUUUAUGUUUUGUUGAUCCAUUAUUAAUGAUUAAAAAAAUAAGUUACUUUAGGGAUAACAGCGUAAUUUUUUUGGAGAGUUCAUAUCGAUAAAAAAGAUUGCGACCUCGAUGUUGGAUU